rnacentral:rRNA from 1 species
CGGAUUCUGGCUCAGGAUGAACGCUAGCUACAGGCUUAACACAUGCAAGUCGAGGGGCAGCAUUGGGAUAGCUUGCUAUUCAGAUGGCGACCGGCGCACGGGUGAGUAACGCGUAUCCAACCUUCCUGCCAGUAGGGAACAGCCCGGCGAAAGUCGGAUUAAUGCCCUAUGUUCUUCAAUGCGGACAUCUAAGUUGAAGGAAAGAUUCAUCGCUGGCAGAUGGGGAUGCGUCCGAUUAGCUUGCCGGCGGGUAACGGCCCACCGGGGCGACGAUCGGUAGGGGUUCUGAGAGGAAGGUCCCCCACACUGGUACUGAGACACGGACCAGACUCCUACGGGAGGCAGCAGUGAGGAAUAUUGGUCAAUGGGCGUAAGCCUGAACCAGCCAAGUAGCGUGCAGGAAUGACGGCCCUACGGGUUGUAAACUGCUUUUAUGCGGGGAUAAAGUGCGGCACGUGUGCCGCUUUGCAGGUACCGCAUGAAUAAGGACCGGCUAAUUCCGUGCCAGCAGCCGC